ACCGACACAGGUAGAUGAGGAGAGAAUCCUAAGACGAACGGGAGAAGCGUUGUUAAGGAACUCGGCAAAUUGACCCCGUAAGUUCGCAAUAAGGGGUGCCUCAGAAAUGAGGUCGCAGAGAAUAGGCCCAAGCAACUGUUUAACAAAAACACAGGUCUCUGCUAAAUCGAAAGAUGAAGUAUAGGGGCUGACGCCUGCCCGGUGCUGGAAGGUUACGGGAAUCUGUCAACGAAAGUGAAGCAGUGAACUUAAGCCCCAGUAAACGGCGGCCGUAACUAUAACGGUCCUAAGGUAGCGAAAUUCCUUGUCAGGUAAGUUCUGACCCGCACGAAUGGCGUAAUGAUUUGGGCACUGUCUCAACAACGUACCCGGCGAAAUUGUAGUACUUGUAAAGAUGCAAGUUACCCGCGACUAGACGGAAAGACCCCAUGGAGCUUUACUGUAGCCUGAUACUGGGUUUCGGUAUUCUUUGUACAGGAUAGGUGGGAGGUUAGGAAGUAUGGACGCCAGUUCAUAUGGAACCGACGUUGGGAUACCACUCUAAGAAUACUGGAACUCUAACCUGAGGCCAUAAGCUGGUCUAGGGACACUGUCAGGUGGGCAGUUUGACUGGGGCGGUCGCCUCCCAAAAGGUAACGGAGGCGUUCAAAGGUUACCUCAGCGCGGUUGGAAAUCGCGCAACGAGUGCAAAGGCAUAAGGUAGCCUGACUGCGAGACAGACAAGUCGAGCAGUUACGAAAGUAGGACUUAGUGAUCCGGCGGUAUGAAAGUGGAAUUGCCGUCGCUCAACGGAUAAAAGCUACCCUGGGGAUAACAGGCUGAUCUCCCCCAAGAGUCCACAUCGACGGGGAGGUUUGGCACCUCGAUGUCGGCUCAUCGCAUCCUGGAGCUGAAGUAGGUUCCAAGGGUUUGGCUGUUCACCAAUUAAAGCGGUACGCGAGCUGGGUUCAGAACGUCGUGAGACAGUUCGGUCCUUAUCUGUCGCGGGCGCAGGAUAUUUGAAGGGAUCUGUCCUUAGUACGAGAGGACCGGGAUGGACGAACCUCUGGUGUACCAGUUGUACUACCAAGUGCAUAGCUGGGUAGCCAAGUUCGGAAGGGAUAAACGCUGAAGGCAUCUAAGCGUGAAACCCACCCUAAGAUGAGAUAUCCCACCGUAAGGGUAAGACCCCAUGUAGACUACAUGGUUGAUAGGCCAGAGGUGUAAGUGCAGUAAUGUAUUUUAGCUGACUGGUACUAAUAGGUCGAGGGCUUGACCAA
rnacentral:rRNA from 1 species